rnacentral:rRNA from 1 species
AGCAGCCGCGGUAAUUCCAGCUCCAAUAGCGUAUAUUAAAGUUGUUGCAGUUAAAAAGCUCGUAGUUGAAUUUCGGGAUCAGUACGCUGGUCGUGCCUUCGGUAUGAACUGGUGUCACUGGUUCCUCCCUUCUGAAGAACCGUCAUGCCAUUCAGUUGGUGUGGCGGGGAAUCAGGACUGUUACUUUGAAAAAAUUAGAGUGUUUAAAGCAGGCUCGCGCUUGAAUACAUUAGCAUGGAAUAAUGAAAUAGGACGUUUGACCCUAUUUUGUUGGUUUCUAGGAUCGACGUAAUGAUUAAUAGGGAUAGUUGGGGGCAUUAGUAUUCAAUUGUCAGAGGUGAAAUUCUUGGAUUUAUUGAAGACUAACUACUGCGAAAGCAUUUGCCAAGGAUGUUUGCAUUAAUCAAGAACGAAAGUUAGGGGAUCGAAGACGAUCAGAUACCGUCGUAGUCUUAACCAUAAACUGUGCCGACUAGGGAUCGGAUGAUGUUAAUUUUUUAAUGACUCAUUCGGCGCCUUACG